AAAGAAGAAACAGUUAUGAUAAAAAAAAACAUAUGCAGAGGGUAGGUUUUAUUAAGCUUUAAAGAAGUGUGUUGUUGAUAAUGGAAAAACAGUAAUAUGGAUUAAAGUCAUGAAAAAAGUGUGGAAAAAAUGAAGAUAGGAGGAGUCGCUGAUGAGUAUUUUGAAAUCGUGGAAGCUUAAGCUGAGUUCAGAAAUGGAAGCCGCAGCGUUGAAAGUGGAGUCACUUGCGUGCAUAGACUCUACCACUCUCUCUCACUCCGAGCUUCUCGCCCUUUCUCUCUCCUCUCUCUGCGCCUUCGACCUUCGCGCCACCAAUGACCUCGUCACACCCAAGAUCGACCCCGCGCUCUUCAACGAGAGCGCCGGCUCCCGCCGCCAGACCUACUCCCGCCCCCAGUCCUCCCCGACGGGCCGCCGCCGCCGCCUCGCCGGCCUACUUCCCGCCCCCAAACCCCCUCCCCUCCCCGCUCACGACCCCGAGAACGCCGAAAACCGUCUCAUCAUUGACUACCUUAAACAACUCAUCCGAGAGGACCCCAAGUUCGACCAGGUCCACCUCGCUUCCCCUUCCCUUCCCCCACCCAAUGUCAAGCGCAAGCGAGGCCGCAAGCCCAAGCUCAAACUCCACCUUGAACACUGCUACCGCGGAAUCGACAUUCUUAACCGAAACGGCGUGGCCGUUGAUCUCUCGCAGUUGGCCACCUCCCAAGACCCCUUCGCCGAUGAGCUCAAGAGGCGCACAGAGGGUUUGAGCAGCGAAGAGGAGCUGUUAGGGUUUUUGAGGGAUUUGCCUGGCCAAUGGGGGAGCCGUAGGAAGAAACGCAGGAUUGUUGAUGCCUCGGAUUUCGGCGAUGUGUUGCCACUCAGUUGGAAGAUUCUUCUCGGUUUGAAGAGGAAGGACGGUCGUGCGUGGAUCUAUUGCCGCAGAUACAUUAGCCCUAGUGGACAGCACUUUGUGUCUUGCAAAGAGGUUUCUUCGUAUUUACAGUCUCUUCUGGGUAAUGGCGAUGGGCAAUCGCAAAGUAGUCGCAGGAGUGAAAAUUUAGUGCAGGAGCAGAUAGUACCUGCUGAAAAGUCUGCUGGUGUCACUCCUGAACGUCAAGAUCAGAGACAGAUUGUUGCCGUGAACGCGGAGGUGCCUGGAUUAUUUGCGGGUGCUCAUGAAAGAGUCAAAGAGGUUGCCUUGUUGGGAAUUGAAAAUCUUGCAGAUGUGCAGAUUCAAGAUCUGUUUGAGUGUCGCAAGUGCAAUAUGAGUUUUGACGAGAAGGAUUCGUACUUGCAGCACCUGUUGUCAGUUCACCAGAGGACGACAAGGCGGUACCGGCUUGGUUCCUCUGUUGGAGAUGGAGUUAUAAUUAAAGAUGGGAAGUUUGAGUGCCAGUUCUGCCAUAAGGUGUUUCUUGAAAGGCGUCGUUACAAUGGUCAUGUGGGGAUUCAUGUUAGGAAUUAUGUGAGGAGAGUAGAAGAUUCACCAGGUCAGAUUAAUGUCCAGAGGACAGAUGACAAGUCUCCAGUCAGGGAGGACAUGCCGUUAAGGAUAUCUAAGAUGGAUGCCCUCAUUGAAAUUGCUCAAAACUCUAUUAUGGAGGGUUGUGUCACAGAAUCCCAUCAUUUAGCUAAACUGAAUGGGAUUCCUGCUUCGGAUGUCGCUGUUGGUUACUUGGACCAAGAUGGAAACUCUGAGGCUCCAAUCAGUGAAAAGCAGAUGGAAGAUAGCUUGACUAAGAAAAAUGUGGAUCAUCAUGGAAUGGAUGGAAAGGUAGAGGAAGUUGAUGAUGAUAACCGUGUGAUAGAUGUAAAAAUGGUUACUUUUCUUGAUAACAUGGGUUUGUUAUCUGUAAAUAAGCAAGAUGUUAAAGCAUCCGAGACUUCCGAAAUAAAAGAUGAUGUGGAAUUGACUAUUGAGGAACUGGAUCAAUCUGGGAUUGAUUUGGAUGGUGUUUCUGAAGUUCGUAUACUUCCUUUAUCUGAACUUAACAUUAUACCAGAAUCGGAAAAGGGUGAAAAUUCUGAAUCUUCUAAUGCUAAAGUUCAGUUUAAACCUGAUGAAGGCAUUAGUAACAAGAGUGAGUUAGAAUUUGGUUUAAAUUGCUUGAAAGAUGUACCUGUUACCGUUAGUACUGAUGUCCCAGAGAUGGUAAUGGCAGCUUCUGAAGAAAAUGUGGUACAUUCUAGUGCUUUUAACUCCUCUAUAUCCACAGAACAACCUAUGGAUUGUUUGCCUGCAUUCAGCUCUGAUAAGGGAGGAAAACAGUUUUCCAGUCUUGAAAAUGAACAUGAUAGCGUGAAGGGUCUCGAGGAAUUGAGGUUUGAUGAAAUAGAUAGUGUUGAUUAUGAUUUUGCAAGGAUUCAGGAUUCUCCUUCUCCGCCUGCUGUAUCAGCUGAAUUGGCCAAUGACACAGUGAUGGAAGACACGUAUUUAUCCUCAGUUCAGUUUGAAUCGCAGCUUACAACUGUAUGUGUAUGGUGUGGAAUAGAGUUUAACCAUGACGCUGUCAAUUCUGAAAUACAACCAGAUUCUGUUGGAUUCAUGUGUCCAGCUUGUAAAGCAAAAAUCUCUGGUCAAAUCAACGUGUUGGACUGUGAAUCGCCAAAUGCUGGCUGUCUAUAGACUGGUAAUUUCUGUUUCUCCACAGAUUAAUAGUUUGAUUAGAAUUGUUUCCGGCUUCCUAUCCUAUCUCUUUACUAUGAUCGUCUAACUGAGAGAUACCGUAUUCACUGAAUUCUGAGACCAAAAUAACAUAAAAAUUGCAGUUAUUAGGGAGAGGGAAGGGACUUCAAUAUGCUUUAUUCUUUUUCAGAAGGAAUCUAUAACGAAUUUACUCUUGUUGUCGUUGUACUUGUCACACCUGUAGUGACAGGCAAACUUGUAUCAUAAUUCGUGUCGGCUUCAAAUAGAGCUUCUAACUUUGGGUGCUGAAUGAUCUUCGAGAGACAGUAGAAGGAGGUGAUGAUGAACUAGAAGACGGCAUUUGGGAUAAAAUACUUGAUUUAUUGUAUUAUGGUUUUUAUUCUUCUCGUAUGUUGUAUUGUCGUACAUAUCCCUGUUCGUAUGAGAGCCAAUAUUAUCUUGUAGUAUUGUUGUUUCUAAUCCACGCCCCUGCUGCAACAGUGCACGUCUCAAUUUUGUAUUUUCUACAUAACUAGAGAGUGUAUUCCUAAAUUACCCAAAUCAAUAUAUUUGUUUAUCGUAGUUUAAAAGGUGAAA